rnacentral:rRNA from 1 species
CUACGGGAGGCAGCAGUGAGGAAUAUUGCCCAAUGGACGCAAGUCUGAACCAGCCACGCCGCGUGAAGGAUGAAGGCCUUCUGGGUUGUAAACUUCUUUUAUGUGGGAAGAAAUCACCUUUUUCUAAGGGUGUUGACGGUACCAUAGGAAUAAGCACCGGCUAACUCCGUGCCAGCAGCCGCGGUAAUACGGAGGGUGCAAGCGUUAUCCGGAUUUACUGGGUUUAAAGGGUGUGUAGGCGGGCUAUUAAGUCAGUGGUGAAAUCUCCGGGCUCAACCUGGAAACUGCCAUUGAUACUAUUAGUCUUGAAUUCUGUUGAGGUUGGCGGAAUAAGUCAUGUAGCGGUGAAAUGCAUAGAUAUGACUUAGAACACCGAUUGCGAAGGCAGCUAGCUAAACAGAGAUUGACGCUGAGGCACGAAAGCAUGGGGAUCAAACAGGAUUAGAUACCCUGGUAGUCC